GAGCAGUGCUUAGAGUGCAUGGGCUAUAGCCUGAAAUGAUCUCAAACUGGAAAAGGAUUUUUUUGUUGUUGUUGUUGUUAUUGUCUGUCCCCCCCAACAACUGUUUUCAAAUGGACGGGGUAUCAUUCACAGGAGGGCUCCCUACCAAGUUCACUGUGGGUCCCCACGUGCGCGCUGCGGUGUAAAGCAUCCGCUCACUGGCUACACAGACUGCCUGCAGCAGUCAUCCCAUCAUAACGCCUGCCUGCCUGCCUCAGAUCCCCAGUUAACACCCCAAUUAGAGACCAGCAGGGGCGGUGAAAAGUGCUUAGUGAGCAUUCGGCCAAGAAAGUUUAACUUAGAAAAAACAAACUGUGAGCGGCUGUUUGAAUCUUUGUUUUUGAAAUCAGCUAAGAACUGACAAACUCUGCCAUCGCUGAGCCACCGAGAUCGUUAUCAGUGACAACCUGGCUCUUGUGAUCUAAAAACAUUUGUGAUCUUAAAAAAAAAAAAAAAAA
rnacentral:lncRNA from 1 species